UAGCGAGUUAAUCAUAAACUCCAAAACCCCUGUGAACUUACCUAUGUUGCCUCGGCAGGUCGUGGUGUGUAGCGGUGACCACUGGGUCGCUUGCCUCGCACCACGCUGAAAAGACCUGUCAAAGGACCCCUAAACUCUGUUUUUACAACUGUAUCUCUGAGUCUAUUAUACAAAUAAGUUAAAACUUUCAACAACGGAUCUCUUGGCUCUGGCAUCGAUGAAGAACGCAGCGAAAUGCGAUAAGUAAUGUGAAUUGCAGAAUUCAGUGAAUCAUCGAAUCUUUGAACGCACAUUGCGCCUGAUAGUAUUCUGUCAGGCAUGCCUGUUCGAGCGUCAUUUCAACCCCCAAGCCCUAUUUGCUUGACGUUGGGAGUUUACGGAGACGUAAUUCCUCAAAUAUAGUGGCGGAGCUAGGUCGUGCUCUAAGCGUAGUAACCACAAUUCUCGCUUCUGCAGCCGGCUUAGGUCCUGCCGUAAAACCCCUAUAUUUUUUUAUUGGUUGACCUCGGAUCAGGUAGGAAUACCCGCUGAACUUAAGCAUAUCAAUAAGCGGAGGAAAAGAAACCAACAGGGAUUGCCCUAGUAACGGCGAGUGAAGCGGCAACAGCUCAAAUUUGAAAUCUGGCCCUCGGGUCCGAGUUGUAAUUUGCAGAGGAUGCUUUUGGCGCGGUGCCUUCCGAGUUCCCUGGAACGGGACGCCUUAGAGGGUGAGAGCCCCGUACGGU
rnacentral:rRNA from 1 species